CAAAAAAGGAAAUUGGGACAAAGACACAUAGGGAGAGUGCUAUGUGUCUUUGCACUCUCAGACAGAAACGCAGACUCAGAAGAAAGAUGGCCAUGUGAAUAUGGAGACAGAGAUUGGAACUAUGCUGUCUCAAGCCAAGGAAUGUCUGGGGUUAUCACAAGCCAGAAGAGUGUCCUAAUCAGGUGAGUCCUUUAAAGAAGAUCUAGAGUUCAAAGACAGAAGAAGUCAGAGAGAUAUUUCUCCUGGCUUGCCUUGAAGAAGCAAGCCCUCAUGAACCCUACAACUGCAAGAAACUGAAUUUGGCCAAUAACCACAUGAGCUUGGAAGAAGAUCUUGAGCCUCAGAUGAGACUCUCAGCCCCAGCAAAUGCUUCCAUUGCAGUCUUGUGACACCCUGAGCAGAAGACCCAGCCAAACUGUAUCAGAAU
rnacentral:lncRNA from 1 species